CAGUAACACGUGGAUAACCUGCCNNCGGGAUAACCCCGGGAAACUGGGGAUAAANNNNGAUAGGUGAUGCUGCCUGGAAUGGUNNNUCACCGAAACACCUUCGGGUGCCCAAGGAUGGGUCUGCGGCCGAUUAGGUUGUUGGUAGGGUAACGGCCUACCAAGCCGAUCAUCGGUACGGGUUGUGAGAGCAAGAGCCCGGAGAUGGAUUCUGAGACAUGAAUCCAGGCCCUACGGGGCGCAGCAGGCGCGAAAACUUUACAAUGCGGGAAACCGUGAUAAGGGGACACCGAGUGCCAGCAUCAUAUGUUGGCUGUCCAGAUGUGUAAAAUACAUCUGUUAGCAAGGGCCGGGCAGGACCGGUGCCAGCCGCCGCGGUAACACCGGCAGCUCGAGUGGUAGCCGCGUUUAUUGGGCCUAAAGCGUCCGUAGCCGGUCCGAUAAGUCUCUGGUGAAAGCCCACAGCUCAACUGUGGGAAUCGCUGGAGAUACUAUCGGACUUGAGGCCGGGAGAGGCUGGAGGUACUCCCAGGGUAGGGGUGAAAUCCUAUAAUCCUGGGAGGACCACCUGUGGCGAAGGCGUCCAGCUGGAACGGACCUGACGGUGAGGGACGAAAGCCAGGGGCGCGAACCGGAUUAGAUACCCGGGUAGUCCUGGCCGUAAACGAUGCGGACUUGGUGUUGGGACGGCUUUGAGCUGUCCCAGUGCCGAAGGGAAGCUGUUAAGUCCGCCGCCUGGGAAGUACGGCCGCAAGGCUGAAACUUAA
rnacentral:rRNA from 1 species